rnacentral:rRNA from 1 species
GAUGAACGCUGGCGGCGUGCUUAACACAUGCAAGUCGAACGAAGCACUUUAUUUGAUUUCCUUCGGGACUGAUUAUUUUGUGACUGAGUGGCGGACGGGUGAGUAACGCGUGGGUAACCUGCCUUGUACAGGGGGAUAACAGUUGGAAACGGCUGCUAAUACCGCAUAAGCGCACAGCAUCGCAUGAUGCAGUGUGAAAAACUCCGGUGGUAUAAGAUGGACCCGCGUUGGAUUAGCUAGUUGGCGAGGUAACGGCCCACCAAGGCGACGAUCCAUAGCCGACCUGAGAGGGUGACCGGCCACAUUGGGACUGAGACACGGCCCAAACUCCUACGGGAGGCAGCAGUGGGGAAUAUUGCACAAUGGGCGAAAGCCUGAUGCAGCGACGCCGCGUGAGCGAAGAAGUAUUUCGGUAUGUAAAGCUCUAUCAGCAGGGAAGAUAAUGACGGUACCUGACGAAGAAGCACCGGCUAAAUACGUG